rnacentral:rRNA from 1 species
AUGUCGGGCCGCCGAUCUCGCUCUCGCCUUGCCCUCAGCACUGCCCCCGAUGGCCGCAGCAGACCCGUCGGUCCCUAUUCCCGCGGCGCUGCCGCCGAGGGCCGCCGCAGGUCUGCCGAUCGCUCCGCUGCCCUCAGAUCUCUCGCGUCUAUGGUGCCGCCUGGGUUCGACCCGUCGCUGAAUCCUAUGCGCUCGUGGCCGCCGUCGCAGGAGUCGCGCGACUCCUUGGUGCGCGCACUCCUGCAGAAAUUGGUAGGGCCCAGCCUCUACUGCGUCCACUACGGCGCCGUCCCGGAGCCCGAGGCCAGGCGCGCCGCCGCGGCCAUCGAGGCCGAGUCCUUCGCUGCCAUCUCCGAGUAUGCCUCCGGCGCGACCUUGGCCUCCCGCAAGGAGCGUUUCGCCAUCUACAAGAUGUACUUGAAGGAGGCUUGCGAUCGGCUCCUCGCGUUCUUCAAAUCCCGAGCCGCCGCAAUGGGGGGCAUGCCGGAAUCGGGGGAUUCGUCGGCGCCUACUUUGGCUCUUCCCGCUCCCGCUUCCGCUUCCAAGGAGUAG